CCAUCCAGUGGACCAUAUGGAGGUUGGUGAUACCAAUGGUAGUGAAGAUUUAAACACCCAAGUCCCAAUGUUCACAUUGCGUUCUGGAAAGGGGAGUGGAGCUGGUGCAUCUGGAGAGUGAAAGAGAGCAAAGGUAGCAAUGGAUGGCCAAAUAUCUGCUGUUGCCGCCUCUAUAGAUCGUUUGGCGACUGUGGUCAAAGAGAGGCAUGUCUCUCCUAAAGCAUUGUUGGAUGCUAUGGUAGAAGUAGAUGGAUUUAGUGAAGAUACACUUGACAUCGUCUUUGAAUUCCUCAUAGUAAAUGGACCUCAAGCAAAGGCAUUUUUAGUUAGGAAUGUGGAGCAAUGGAGGAGGUGGAUCUUGAGGUUUCUUGGUCAAGGCCAUUGAUGUGAGUUCAUCUAGGAGCAUUAUUAACUGAAGGAAAUUACAAGGGAUUAAUAGAAGUGCAACCAAGUUUAUAUAAUGUUGUGCUUGAAGAUGAUACUUACAAGGGAGAGAUCAAAAUUGGCUUUAAAUUCACAGCAAAUGUAAAAGUGCAAAAGAAAACAAGAGUAUGUAUGGAGCUGGACAAGCAAAAACCAGAGUCAAUAUAUGGAACACUCUUCAGUUUCUGGAGAAUUCCUUGGUUGAAAUUUUGAGUGCAUAUACAUGUUAAGGACUGGUUGCUAAUUUUCAUUUUACCAUCAAGCUUUUGUAGCUUUUCCCAUACUUCCAUUUAUAUCUUUUGCAGCCAUUUCUUCCUCAUAGAAGAAUGUAUUCUACUGUUCUUGAUAAACCUGAUUGGAUGAAGGGAGGCUUUGGAUUGCGUAUCACUACUUCCAUGGUCCAUCCAAACCCACCUUCCAACUCAAAAUGUUUAGAGUAAUGCAAUUGGGUUUGGGAUCUUUUUGAACAUUAGAUAUUUUUCAUGAACAAUAAUGCCAUGGAUGAAGUUGAUUAGUUUUGUAUCAGAUGAACUUAAUAUGAUUUUUCUAUUCAUUUCUAUGAAAUGAGAAGUUACAAAGUG